GGCGGAGCCUACACAUGCAAGUCGAGCGGUAACAGAAGAGUAGCUUGCUACUUUGCUGACGAGCGGCGGACGGGUGAGUAAUGCUUGGGAAUAUGCCUUUUGGUGGGGGACAACAGUUGGAAACGACUGCAUAAUACCGCAUGAUGUCUACGGACCAAAGUGGGGGACCUUCGGGCCUCACGCCAAAAGAUUAGCCCAAGUGGGAUUAGCUAGUUGGUAAGGUAAUGGCUUACCAAGGCGACGAUCCCUAGCUGGUUUGAGAGGAUGAUCAGCCACACUGGGACUGAGACACGGCCCANACUCCUACGGGAGGCAGCAGUGGGGAAUAUUGCACAAUGGGCGCAAGCCUGAUGCAGCCAUGCCGCGUGUGUGAAGAAGGCCUUCGGGUUGUAAAGCACUUUCAGUCAGGAGGAAAGGUUAAGUUUUAAUAGAGCUUAGCUGUGACGUUACUGACAGAAGAAGCACCGGCUAACUCCGUGCCAGCAGCCGCGGUAAUACGGAGGGUGCGAGCGUUAAUCGGAAUUACUGGGCGUAAAGCGUACGCAGGCGGUUUGUUAAGCGAGAUGUGAAAGCCCCGGGCUCAACCUGGGAACUGCAUUUCGAACUGGCAAACUAGAGUGUGAUAGAGGGUGGUAGAAUUUCAGGUGUAGCGGUGAAAUGCGUAGAGAUCUGAAGGAAUACCGAUGGCGAAGGCAGCCACCUGGGUCAACACUGACGCUCAUGUACGAAAGCGUGGGGAGCAAACAGGAUUAGAUACCCUGGUAGUCCACNCCGUAAACGAUGUCUACUAGAAGCUCGGAACCUCGGNUCUGUUUUUCAAAGCUAACGCAUUAANUAGACCGCCCUGGGG
rnacentral:rRNA from 1 species